UAAAUAAAAGCGUACGUGUGAUUCGAUCGAGAGAGAGAGAUUGGUUUGGAUCGAUGAUCGUUAUUCGCAGUCGAGUAGGUCGUCGUUUCUGGUUUUGUUCCAAUACGUGUGUUUGUAAAUUAGAGUAUCGAGUCUAAUUUGGGAGCGGAGUAAGAUCGAUCAUUCAUGUCGACGACAAUCAAAUCAAUCCAUCGGUCGUCGUACGUUUUCAUAAUUAUUUUUGUAUUCUAGAGUUUUUGCUUCGUAAACUUCUUCACUGGUCCGCUAUUUGAGAAUGACGUUGUGUAACAGAGGGAUACGAUUAGGUCUCGUAAAUUCGUAAUCUCGAUCAUCUCGAAAGUAUGUUCUUAACAUGUUCGAUGUAAUUCCUUUUUUCUAGAGUAUUUUGAAACGGCUCACUUUCACUGCGUAGUUGGCCUCUCUUUUGCAGGUAGGUUCUUCUUGUUGCAAAAGGGAUGAAGAGGAUAUAAAUUUUCUUGCCAGUUUAAUAGUCAUCAAUUUUCUUGCCAGUUCAGGACUUGGUUUCUUGAAAAUCUCACUGGAUUUCUUGUUUUAAGACAUGUCUUUCUUUCUUAUAGGUUGUUUUUAUGACUGAUCGAGCCACCCUUCUCUUUUAGAGUGUACAAGAUUUGGUUUUGAGGCUCUUAUGGUUUUACAGCGGUGUAUAUAAGUGCUUGGUUUGCCGUAGUUGGUGUCCUAUUUGCUUCCUUUUCUUCGCCGUCAGUAUGUUAAAGAUGCAAAGGUAUGAAUGUUUCCGUAUUAUUUGUUUGCAACUAUCUUUUAUAAUUCAUUAAUUUUCUUACAUGAUCACACAAAUACCAUCUAGUUUUUAAAUAAAUAUAACUGAUUAGUGAAACAUUAGUCGAUCCACGAAAAGAUCAAAGCUAUGCUCCGCACGUUUGAUGAUCCUUAACCCAAAGGUAUUUGCAAAUUUUGUUUCCUCCAUGAAUUUGUUCUUUACUGUUUAUGGGAACUGUUUAAUGUUUGUUUUGCCAUAAGACACAUCUUGUGACUUGUAGGAUCCAGCACCAAAGUUUCAGAAUUUGUAGCCACGGGCAGAUUUCAUGGGUAUGCGAUAUGUCUUGUGGCUCCUAUGGUUUCCCAGCCGUAAUAUAUAUAUAAGGUUCUUUUGAGUUUUGUUUUUGCUUGUUCUCACUAUACUUUGUUGUCUACAGUUGGGUUUGUGUACAAUAACUGAUCUUUUCUGUUUGUAAACUGGUUGGUUCGAGCGAGGUUCUGAAUGCAAAAAUUGACAGUACCGUUGGAAGAAGGUUGCUUGGUUUAGCCGCCGCUUCAUGUGCUACACUUCUCCGGUACUCGUUGAGUCUCUGACUAUCACUUUCUCGUUAGAUUUUGUAGAAAGAUUCUGUGGGAAGUGUAGCUUGCAUCAAACGGUGGUGUAUAUGUUUUUGCUAAGAUCAGUAGAUGCUGCUUACGGAAAGAUCAAAGCUAUGUUCUCCACUCUUGGUGAUCCCAAGGUAUUCGCAAAUUUUCAUUUAUGUGUUGUUCUUUGCUGUUUAUGGAAGUGAUUUCGAGUUGGUUUUUCCUUCGAAAUCAUUUGAGUUACAGUACAUAUAUGUGUCUUAUUACGAGCUUUGCUUCGGCCACGAUGUUUUUUGUUGGGCUUGCUAAUAGUCGCAAGGUAGGUUUCCUUUACUUUUUGUGUUUGAUAAUAGUCACAAUGCUUUCUUAUGGUUUUACCUGUUCACUGUUACAAAAUUACGAAAUAGGAGAUGGCAAGUUAUUUGUUUUCUCUCCCUUUAGGUAAUUUUCCAUAUUGUUUAUCAGUGUUGAGUGUGAGAGAACCAUCUUGGAAACAUCAAGCUAAUCGAGGUUUGUUGCACUAGGUGGCGCAAUCGGAGAUACCAUUUGAGUUUCUGACAUUCGACUUGUGGUUCUUGCUACUGUACAAUGUUGGAGAGCGUUAGUGGUUCUUUCUUCUGUUCAUAUAUGUUACUUUACUUUGUCAUUUUAAUUUUUUCGGUGCAGAGCCUUAAAGUUCCGGGUUACCAUUAGUUGAGUGGAGACAAUGGAGGUUUCAUGUGGAAGGUGUUUUUGUGAUAUCUGAUUAUUUUCUCCUCUGCAACUUUAUUCUGUUCUACGAGGUAGUAGGUACGGUUGUUCUCGCCUCUUAUUGUGCGUUCAGAUUUUCUUCAUCAAUAUCAUUAUGCAUUAUAUUCAAAUUAACUAAGUUAAUAAAUAGAGAUUUAUGUACAAUUUAGGCAUUUGAAGAGGUUUAAGGUUUAAAUGGUCAUCUAUUUGCUUGCCAGUACAAUCAGGACUUGGUUUCUUGAAAAUCUCACAGGAUUUCUUGUUUUAAGACAUGAAUUUGCUACAGGUUAUCAUUUAUUAAAGUUAUGUAAUGAAGCAAAGGAGUCGUUUUUUUGACUGAUCAAGUUACCACCAGUCUCUUUUUAGGGAACCAAGGAAAUGUGCCACUGAUUUGAAGGAGAAAUUACAUCACAAGUCUGUAUGGUUGUCUACUUGUCUGUAGUUAUAUCCAUGUUCCUGCAUGGAGACAAUAAGAUGUCCUUUAAGAAUAUGCAAGAAAGGUACAAAUUUGCGUGCUCUGUUUGUCUGUAGUUAUAUCCAUGUUCCUGCAUGGAGACAAUAAGAUGUCCUUUAAGAAUAUGCAAGAAAGGUACAAAUUUGCGUGCUCUGUUUUGUAUUCUGAUAAUCUAUUCUUCCUUGCCGUUCUAUUCUCCCAAACUGAUGGUCAGGUCAAUUAGAUAUCUGUGCAAACUGAUGUUCUCUAAGUGAAUUAGAUGUCCUGCUUUCCAUCUAACUCAAAGUUAAGUUCUUCUAUGUUCUGCAACAUGAGACUUUUCAUAAAUUAUACUAAAUUGUGCCGGUUAUACUAAAUUGUGCAACAUGAUCAAAACCUCUGCUUGUUACUUGCAACCCUUCAGAGUAUAAGGUCUGACCUGCCCUGGUUUUAGACAUCUCUGGUUCAUUUUCGCCCUAUUCUCUUUCCAAACCGACGUUCUGCAGAUGGAUUUCGAGACUGAAGCUCUCUUUUUUUAUUCUAUCUGAGACGUAUACAAUCUACCAGGCUUUUCGGGGGACUUCAAUCAGGUUUUUAAGUAGGAAAUAAGCUUUAUGUUCUUCGCUGAUGAUCAGUUAGCUCAUUAGUCAUUCUCAUUUCCUUGUUUCUGAUUCUACUACGCUACUUCUUUCGUUGAGUUUAUGUCAUUGACUUUGUUGGGGCUCCACUGAUGCAUGUCAUGCUUUGAGAUAUUCCACAUUAGGGCUUUAAGUUGAAGAAUAUUGGAACAGAUUUAGCUGGUUAACUUAUACAAUCUGCCAUUAUCGUUACUUGAUCUGUGUGCUAGAAAUUUUUUUUAGGGUUCAACGACGUGUCAUAACAAUAUCACUGGAAUGCAACAGGUUCUGAAGACUAACUUUCAUUGUCUUUUACCUCUAAGUUACUUUUGACCUUUUUCUUGUCCAAAUUGCAUCUGUUGGUUUUUCUGUUUAUGUUGAUUACUUGUGUUAUUCACAGUGGAUGAUGCAGGAGACGGAUGUUUCUUGUCUCUGAUGGUUGCCUCUUCAAUUGAUAGUUCUCAGCGUUUCUCCUUUUGCCGAUUACACUUUUCAGGGGUUUCAAAUCUCCAUCGUUUUUUAAAAAAAAAAUUCUUAAAUAAAUUAUUGUUGGGUUUCCUGAUUAAUGAGACAAACUUUAUUGGUUGCAUUGUAGGCGACUCAGGAGGGUUUGAAAAUUUUCUAGUUACCUCAGCAUACAUACACACCUUUCGCUUCUACUUGGUAAGAGUUGCUUAUUAUACUAUUUAUCAGUCACAUCACUUGUUUCUUUUGCAGGAUAUUCAUUCUCAGCAAAAAAAUGAGAACAUCUGUAUGGUUACUGUAAUUAGAUCAUGUUAGGUCAUGAAUACGUUGAUGAUGGAGGUUAAUUUCAGUGCAAUCUCGCAGAUAAACUUAUGUUCACUGUUUGAUUUCUAAGUUUCUUUGGUUAAUUUCAGUGCAUCAGGUAUGAUACGGUGCCCCACCUAUCCUUGAUUUUUGAUCCCUUUCCUUUUAACACUUUCUGGUUUCACAGGUUUACUUAUAUCCUCGUGUUGGUCUCUAAAUUGCAUCGCUGACAGAGUUUUUAUGAUUAAAAAUCUUUAAUCAGAUAUGCUUAUCCACAUCAGGGAUGGCUUAAGUGUUUUUGAUUUCAUGCGUUAUAUUUUCUCUUACAUGAUUUACUUCCCUUCAUUCUAGGUAUGCUGAAGAUGCGUCUGGGAUACAAGCUGCCUUGCGACUUCUUCAAGUGGAAAGAUAGCUUUCUGUUAAAUUUGACACAAUGCAAUAGGAUUUAUACUUGCAGACACCCAGAAUUCAAUAGAUGCUUGUUGAGGUAGUUUUCAUGAAACUGUUCGUAUUCAAGUUUUUGUUCAACCAGUAUUCAGUUUUGGUUCCUGAGGAAAUGUGGCACUGAUUUAGAGAUGAGAAUAAAUCUUGUAAAAGGAAGCAGAAGCAGCUCCCUUAGGACUUGUUGGAUCUGGUUAAUAUCUUAAUCAUCUUCUGAUAUGAUCUUAGCCUUGCAUGUAUUGUCUGUGGAUUCAGGAUUGGGUCUGGUUUCUGAUUUUCAUUGUUCCUCCUUUGCGUCAGUUCUAUGUGACUCCUGCAUAAUUUUGGUGUAAAGCAAAAGGUUUCUCCAGCGAUCUAUGAUUGCAGCUGGAGACUUUUCUCAAACCGUGACAGAACCAGACAACGCCUUUUAAGUGUCAGGUCAGAAAAAAAAUUCACGUUCGAUGUCUCGAGGAAUGGUUUCAAAAGAUCGGUUGCUUCUUGUCUCUGGUUUAUGUGGUUGAUAUUUGUUUGCUUUAGAUAUUAGGUGAUACGAGGGGUUCUCCUGAGUUUAGUUUUUAUUUUUAUGUGUUCUCUUUGUAUUUGGCAGUGUGAUUUGAUUAGUUGGCUUGAAGUGGUCCUUGUUCAGAUUCUUCAGAGCUCUUCACUGUGGAGGUUUGCUACUUUGUGCGAGGGUAUCUCAUUUGUAUUUUAGGAUCAUGUAUUUUUUUCUUCAACAUUUACCUCAGAUAUGAUGAUUUUGGGAUUAUCUGGUUAGCUACUUAUUUUUCAAUAGCGGCUUUCUUACGUUACACGUAUGUAAUUACAGAUGUGCAGGAGAUAACAGUUACGACUUACAAGUGCAGAUUGGAGCCACCGCUAUUUCUGUUAUCACCUAUCAGGGGUUUGGUUAUUUCAUCACUUUUGAUGCCCAUCGUACCAACCUGCAAUUUUUAGGCAUUCUGAUUUGAAAUCUUGGGGUCCUAAAGUUAUUGUUUUUUGGUUCUUCUGCUUUCUUAUGGUGAUACUAAAGACUUUUUGAGUUUUUAUAUUCAUUUUAUUUGCUGAUAAAGUCAUUUAGGACAUAAGAUGUGUUCUGUUGGAUGCUACCAUUUUCAGAUAAGUCAGCUCUUGAUUUGAUUUGUGUGUAUAUGACAGUAUCUGCAAACUGCAUCUCAGUUUGAGUUAGGUAUAAAUGUGUCUUAUUACUUGUUUUCCUUGACAGUAAAUGGUCUCAAGGAUUCCCCGUACUCAAGUUUUUUUGUCUGAAUUCAAGUUACGAAAGAACCUGUUCUCUCCUUUAUUGUUUCUUGAUUUUUAUUAGGUUGCUUUUGAUGGCAUAACUUUUGAAAUACUUCUCUCUAUCAAAGGUAUGUGGAGGACGCAGAAGCAGUUCCUUUUGGACAUGUUUGCCGUAAUAUUUCUGCAGGCCAAAAGAUGCUCGCAGUGCUUUGAUCCUAGUAGUUGGUAACAGAUCAGAUUCUUGAGCUCUUAACGGUUUGCUUCUCUGUGGGAGUGUUUUCUCAAUUUUACCUUAAAAAUUGUGAGUGCAUAAAACUUCUCUAAUUCCUUCUUGGAUUCCACCGAGCUUUGGUUUUGAAGUUUUGCUGCCAAAUCAAGAAAGAUAAUAGGCUCGAGUGGCAUUGUUCCCGCUUGGUUUUCCUGUAUUUUUGGUUCCUGAAUGCAUUGGUGGCUUGUUUCUGUAUAUUUAUAGUUCAUUGUUUUCUUUUGUUGAUGUCAGUUAUUGCUUCUGUGUAUUAGGAACCAAAACCGUCAAGUUAAAAGUUUUCUUAACUGAAUUGGUGGUCUUUUGUUUUGUUUAUGUCAUUUAUCCGCCAAGUUUUGGUUCUUACAACAUUAAUCAUCUAUAUUGUUAUUAACGUCAGGGAUGGCCUUAUACGUUAGUGUUGUUGAUUUCAUGCUUUAUAUGGCUUCUCUUUUACAUGAUUUAUUUCCCUUCAUUUUAGGUAUGCUGAAGUUACAAACUCCCUUGUGCUUACUUUGAGUCGAAAGAUAGCUUUCUGUUUAAUGUGUCACAACAAUACUUGGAUCCAAACCUCUGCUUAUUGCAACUUGCAGGCACCGAGUGUACUGAUGGUGUGCAGGUCAAUAGAUGCUUGUUGAGGAUAUUUUUUUCAUGAAACCAUUCGCAUUCAAGUUUUUCUUCUACCAGCUCAAAAGUGAUGUUAGAGAUGAGCAGGUAUGUUAGAGACAACAUCAUGUUUAUUAGAGUGUGUAACAAAUUCCACCAACUAUCAAAUUUUCAGCUGAUGCAGCAAUCUUGUAGAAGCAGUUUCUGUCGGAUUUGUUUAAUAUCUUGCAUGUGGGAUGGCCUAUCACCUUCUGAUAUCAUCUUAUUUUACAUGGAUUAUUUUCUGUACAUUUCAGGUAAAGUCAUUUGGCUUUCUUGAUGGACAUCGAACAUCGCCAGUUACAUCCACUAUUUGAUCCAUUCAUGCACUACCUACCUUUUUUGUUUUAGCGCUGAUGAAGGUUCUUCGGAUACAUUUUGAUCAUUGUGUUCUUCAGCUGAGAUAAUAUGUUGAUGAAGGCUCUUCAGAUCUUGAUUUUGUGGUUCAAUUCUCUGUAUGGGGUUUUUCGUCUAUAUUUCAGCUUAAAUCUUGGUCACAUAUGCUUGCUUGUUCAAGAGCUCAAGUCUCGCUUCACUUAUUAUUAUAGGUAUGUGGAAAAGGCAAACGGAGAAGCCGGUAUUAUGAUCUUUCUAAUCCUUCAUUAUAGGGAAAUGCUAAAGGCUUAAGAUGAAAGCUUCUGCGACUUAAAAAAACUCGGAUUCUUAAACUCUUGAUGAUUUACUUCUUUCUUGUCCAUGAGAUUUUCCUGUUUUAGAUAUUAGCCUUUUUUGUCAGGUCUUUUAGCCAGGUCAAGAGGAACGUUAUGGCAGCAUUUGUUGCCGCGUGGCAUCAAUCUUUUUUUCAGUUAGGUUAAUCCGUGUCCUAUUGGGUUUUGGAGUGAUUUUCUCUGAAUUUAAAAGGUUUACAGGUCGUGUCUGGAAGAUGUAGAAGAGGUUUUGAAUCGAAGGGCUGUGUUUGGAGAAUUUAUGCAAGGGAAUUUGAUUUUAUCUCGCGUAUCCUUGUCCCGCAUACCUUGUAGACAAUAUGAUUUAUACAUUACAUAUCUUUGUUAUAGGUUGUCGUUCAAGAUGAGUAUAGAUUUUCCUGUUCCAUCAUAGAAUUUUCAGGUUCCCUUCUUUUCUUCAGUUGAGAUAAUUUUUUGUUGAAGGUUUCUGAGUUUAUGUGAUUAGUUGGUAUAAUAAUGUGUUGUGAUACUGCUUUAUAUGUUUCUACUUGGUUUUAAGGGUACGUGCUCUCUUGAUUGCUUCUAUUUGCUAGUAUUGUGACGCAAAGCUCUAUAUUUGAUAAUGUUUUCUAUAUCAGUAGCUCCUACAUUUGCCUUACUUCUGUCUUCUGCUUUUGCUAAUAGUAACAAUGCUUUCUUAUGGGUUUAGUUGUUCAUCGUAGAUUAGAUACGAAAUUUACUUCAUAAUUAUGUUUUCUGAAAUAUUUCAUAAUGUUGCAAGUCAUUUGUUGUUCUCUCCCUUUCGAUAAAUAUUUACAGACCAUUUGUUAAGUAUCAGUAUUGCGAGUGUGAGAGAACCUUCUUGGAGAUACCAUAUCAGUUUCUGCUUAUGUUGGAGAGCGUUAGUGGUGUAUGUAUAUCAAGCUAUGUGUAUUAACAUUGACCUCCUUCUGUUUGUAUAAGUUACUUUACUUUUGUCAUUUUAGUUAGGUUCAGAGGAUUUAAGUUUUGGGUUCCCAUUGGCUGAGUGGAGAGCUUCAUUCAUAGUUGUCACCCAUAUCUGAUGGGCCGUUAGAUCGAAAUGUGUCCAAGGAGGUUUCAUGUGAUGGCUCCUAGGAUGAAACCAUCACCUAUGUUUGGCGAUGGUAUCGGGACAUCUUUUCCCGGCCUAUCAUUUACCAAGGUAGUUCCUGACUCUCAGACAUCUCAUAGAGUUUCUUGGACCCCUCCUCCUUCUGGACCUCAGAUACCCUCUUAGACGCCUCCACCUUCUCCCCUAGAAGCUCCACCUGCUGCAUCUGAUCCUGCCCCACCAGCUGGAGUUCAUCCAGAUUUGUGUGUGCCUCCAUCUGCACCAUAUGCUAGAUACACAGUGGAAGAUAUUUUUUCACAGCCUGGACGAGAGGGCUUAGAUAUUUUGGACCCCGAUCGGCUGCAGAGUACUUAUUGUUUUGGAGCAAAAAACCGUGUUGACCAGAGAGUUUCAGAGACGAACAAGCAAAGGUGGCACUGGUCCUUAGCAAUCAACGAAAGGGUGAAGGCCGAAUUUGUUACAAAAGAAAAGAUCCGCUUUUGAAACACCGUCUUGGAUUGGAAGGACAAAUGGGAGAUCUACGGUUAUGAUGUGAAUCCCACUGAGAUCACGAAGGAUGUAUGGGAUGGCCUCAUCGCCUAUUGGAAGCUACCUUCCUCGGUCCUUAAGGUCAGUUCGUGCUCCGCUUCGCGGAGGACGAGGGACAAGGAUGGUCACUUGCCCAUGGUUCAUAGAACCGGGCCAAAAUUCUGCGUUGGAAUCUGUCUAGAAGACGUUACUUUUAUUUUAAUAUUUAAUUUAUUUCUUUUAUAAAUAUUAUUAAUUAAUUAUAUUUACUAUUUAAUUUAUUUAUUUUUUAAAAAUCUAGGCUGAAAAGAAGGGAGUUUUACCAUCUUUGUCUAAGCUAUUCAAGAUGACUCACGCCAAAUCAGACGUGAUUUUUGUAGAUCCACGGUCGUAGAAAAUCUUCCACGACGUGUCUGCUCGGGUUCAAGAGCAGGAGACACACAACUAACCCAGCAGUCUCCCAAUAGAUUACCCGUCAGAUUGUCUACAUAAGACGUGGACAAGAUCUUCGAAGAGGUUCCGUCAACAAAAUCGCAAGGGAGACUUCGUCCUACUCUUCAAGACAUGACCAAGAAACUUCUCGGAUAGAUGAGCAGCAGCUUCGCUUGGACUCCCUUGAGGAUCAGCAGCUUCUCUUGAGGAUCUGCUCGACAUUAUGGCCGUUGGAACCUGAUUAUGCAGAGAGCGUCGGAUGCUAGACGACAGGCUCUCGGGACGCAUCAGCCUCCCCCGGAUACACGUAUCGAGACUCUUUGGAAACGAGGGCCUCCCCUUCGACGGCUUCGACGGCGUAUGCAUUAGCUUUAUAUUUUUUUGUAUUAUAUAUUUAAUAAUUUUUAUUACUUUUAUAUAAUAUUUCAUUUUUAUUAUUAAAUUUUCAAUAUUU